rnacentral:lncRNA from 1 species
AGUUGAGUAACCUUUACUGUUUAAGGCACUGUUUACACACGUGCCAGUCUGUUCUUCAACAGAGCUUCUGGCUAGAAAGAUGUGCCAAGGUCAUGAGCCCUGUUGGCUGCCAGGGGGGGACCCUGAACCACACUCAGCCAUUCUCCUCAGAACACCCGCUUCCUCAUUCUUCCACUUCCUGUUCUCCUUGCCUGUUUGCUCGUGACUCCAGUCCCUUCCUUUCCUGUGUUCCUGACUGAGCCUUCAGUAUGCCCGUGCCCAUGGUCAGUGCACGCUUGGCUUUGUCUCGGUCUUUCACCUUGGGUCUGCUCUGUGACUCUUCAUCACAUCUGUCCCUUCUAUUCUGGGGUUCUGCAAGUGGUCUUCAGCAUGUAACUCCCUUGAGCUCAGGCUAGCCUGGAACCCCCAGUCUCUAUUACCUGCCCAUCAGGAGCUCCCUUGCACCAAGUCUUUGUUUUCUUCAGGGGUAGGACUUCGGUGAUCUGAUUCCCUUUCUUUACCUUGGAUUUUACAUAAAGGCCUGUUUCUGUGUGAUUUGUUGUUGUUGUCCUUUGUUUGUUUUUGCAGUACUGGGGAUUAAGCCCGGGACUUUCACCCUGAGCUACAUCCCGAGUGGUUUAAAUUUUUUUUUUUUUACUAGGAGGCAUGUUUUCCUUAAGUCACUGAGUUGCCCAGGCUGGUCUCACACUUGAAAUCUUCCUGCCCCAAUCUUCCAGAGUGCUGAGAUUACAGGCCUGCACUACCAUGCCUGUCUGAAGUCCUGAAUUUCUUUGAGAGAGAAAGAAAUUUUGCUGGGAUUUAAAAUAUGAAUAAAAAAUCUGAUAAAACUACAAAAAAGAGAGAAAAGACAAAAAGGACUGUUGUAAAAAUAAGACGCUUUGAAGAAUAUGAAGCAGAUGUUGUGCUGGAAGCUAGUAUGUUCUAUAGUACCACCUGUGCCCACUUAAUUCCAUCAAAAUAAUUUCCCCCAGUAACCAUGAAGAAAGAUUUAAGAAUAUAUGGUGGGGGCAGGGAAAGAAAGCGAGAAUAAAGGCGGUAGCUCAGAUGUGGAGUUCAUCUGCAAAUGGGGAUAACAAUUUACAGCCAGUGGAUGCUUCUGGUCUGUGAUUUAAGGUAUGGUUUCUUUGUCCUGGAGCUUGACUUGUUAGUCAGAUCACCAUGCAAAACUAUUCCACAUGUGUAUGUCUUAAGUGAGAAUUUAUAUGUGCUACUGCUUGUCUAUCUGCCCAUCUACCCAUCUAUCUACCUACCUUCCUACUUAUCUAUAUGAUUUGGUUAACAAUAUGGUAUAGUAGAAGGACAACUUUUUAAAUGAAAAUAGUCAAUGACAAUUUCUUUGUUCUUCCAGCAACUACCUUUCUCUCUUUUCUUUUCUUUUCUUUUCCAUAUAUUUCAUAGUAUUUCCAUGGUUCUCAGUCCAUCUCAGAUGAUAUUGCUUAACCCUUUCCUUGAAGGAAUUUGCUUAUUUUCUGGUGCAACUCUUACGUUAUUAUUCCAAGUGAAGUGCACUGCCAG